rnacentral:lncRNA from 1 species
AUGUUGUAUUUUAAAAUAAUUUUCUUAAAAACUGAUAUUUUUGGAAAGUUUUCAUUUUAUAGAUAAAUAUUGUAGAUUUGGGUUUGUGAUUUAUAAAUUAGGGUAACAAUAAUAUUUGUGGAUAGAUGAGUAUCAUUUAAGAAUUUUUCAUCAAUGUGUUGUAUUUUUAAAUAAUUUUCUUAAAAAAUGCUAUUUCUGAAAAGUUUUCAUUUUGUAGAUAAAUAUUGUAGAUUUGGGUUUGUGAUUUAGAAAUUAGGAUAAAUAGACUAUUUGUGGACUGAUGAAUACUCUUUAAGAAUUUUUUAUCAAUAUGUUGUAUUUUUAAAUAAUUUUCUGAAAAACUGCUAUUUUUGAAAAGUUUUCAUUUUAUAGAUAAAUAUUGUAGAUUUGGAUUUGUGAUUUAGAAAUUAGGAUAACUAGACUAUUUGUGGACAGAUGUAUACUCUUUAAGAAAUUUUCAUCAAUAUGUUGUAUUUUAAAAUAAUUUUCUUAAAAACUGAUAUUUUUGGAAAGUUUUCAUUUCUUUGAUAAAUAUUGUAGAUUUGGGUUUGUGAUUUAGAAAUUAGGAUAAAUAGACUAUUUGUGGACUGAUGAAUACUCUUUAAGAAUUUUUUAUCAAUAUGUUGUAUUUUUAAAUAAUUUUCUGAAAAACUGCUAUUUUUGAAAAGUUUUCAUUUUAUAGAUAAAUAUUGUAGAUUUGGAUUUGAGAAUUAGAAAUUAGGAUAACUAGACUAUUUGUGGCAGAUGAAUACUCUUUAAAAAAUUUUCAUCAACAGGUUGUAUUUUUAAAUAAUUUUCUUAAAAGCUGCUAUUUCUGAAAAGUUUACAUUUUUUUUGAGAAAUACUAUAGAUUUGACUUUGUGAUUUAUAAAUUAAGAUAACAAUAAUAUUUGUGGAUAGUUUAGUAGUUUUUUAGAAAUUUUCAUCAACAAGUUGUAUUUUAAAUAAUUUUCUUAAAAACUUCUAUUUUUGGAAUU